rnacentral:rRNA from 1 species
UACGAAGGGUGCAAGCGUUACUCGGAAUUACUGGGCGUAAAGCGUGCGUAGGUGGCUUGUUAAGUCUGAUGUGAAAGCCCUGGGCUCAACCUGGGAAUUGCAUUGGAUACUGGCAGGCUAGAGUGCGGUAGAGGGUAGUGGAAUUCCCGGUGUAGCAGUGAAAUGCGUAGAGAUCGGGAGGAACACCAGUGGCGAAGGCGACUACCUGGACCAGCACUGACACUGAGGCACGAAAGCUAGGGGAGCAAACAGG